rnacentral:lncRNA from 1 species
AAGUAUCGCUGGUAUCACACCAAGUGCCGUGAGAUUCACGCGUAGCUUAGAGCGGGCGGAAUAACUCAAUCCGUUAGGGUGGAGUUGGAGAAACUGGAUUAGGAAUUGAUGUGGUCUAUCUGUAGAUGUAGUGAUCUCGAGGAGCUGAUCCAUUCCAAAGAGGAAGAGCUCGAAUUUUGUAAGGGGGUUGCAGCGGAAUACGAAG